rnacentral:rRNA from 1 species
AUGCAAGUCGAACGCAGUAGCAAUACUGAGUGGCAAACGGGUGAGUAUAAUGUGGGAAUCUGCCUUUUGGUUUGGAAUAACACGGGGAAACUUGUGCUAAUACCGAAUAAGCCCUUACGGGGAAAGUUUUAACGCCGAAAGAUGAGCCCGCACUUGAUUAGCUAGUUGGUAAGGUAAAAGCUUACCAAGGCAACGAUCAAUAGCUGUUCUUAGAGGAAGACCAGCCACAUUGGGACUGAGACACGGCCCAGACUCCUACGGGAGGCAGCAGUGGGGAAUCUUGCACAAUGGGGGAAACCCUGAUGCAGCGAUGCCGCGUGAGUGAAGAAGGCCCUUGGGUUGUAAAACUCUUUCGUCGGGGAAGAAAAUGACUGUACCCGAAUAAGAAGGUCCGGCUA